UACGGAGGGGGCAAGCGUUAUUCGGAAUUAUUGGGCGUAAAGGGCGCGUAGGAGGCUAGAUGUGUCAAAGGUGAAAUCCCUCGGCUCAACUGAGGAACUGCCUUUGAAACUGUCUGGCUUGAGGCCGGGAGAGGGUAGCGGAAUUCCCAGUGUAGCGGUGAAAUGCGUAGAUAUUGGGAGGAACACCAGUGGCGAAGGCGGCUACCUGGACCGGUUCUGACGCUGAGGCGCGAAAGCGUGGGUAGCAAACAGG
rnacentral:rRNA from 1 species